CGUUAUGUUUGGCCCCAUGAAAAUCUGCUGUAAAGUUCUGAGGAGUUUUUUGGCUUCUGAUAAAAGACAUUCAUCAUUUCAAGUUUCUUUUUUUAAAAAAA